UAUAGUGAGGUGUUAUGCACAUAAGGUUUUGAUUCUUAAAGUUAGGGCCUUCCCUACUCUAUA
rnacentral:tRNA from 1 species